rnacentral:rRNA from 1 species
UAGGGAAUCUUCCACAAUGGACGCAAGUCUGAUGGAGCAACGCCGCGUGAGUGAAGAAGGUUUUCGGAUCGUAAAGCUCUGUGGUUGGUGAAGAAGGAUAGAGGCAGUAACUGGUCUGUAUUUGACGGUAAUCAACCAGAAAGUCACGGCUAACUACGUGCCAGCAGCCGCGGUAAUACGUAGGUGGCAAGCGUUGUCCGGAUUUAUUGGGCGUAAAGCGAGCGCAGGCGGAAUGAUAAGUAUGAUGUGAAAGCCCACGGCUCAACCGUGGAACUGCAUCGGAAACUGUCAUUCUUGAGUGCAGAAGAGGAGAGUGGAAGUCCAUGUGUAGCGGUGGAAUGCGUAGAUAUAUGGAAGAACACCAGUGGCGAAGGCGGCUCUCUGGUCUGCAACUGACGCUGAGGCUCGAAAGCAUGGGUAGCGAACAGG